UACGUAGGUGACCAGCGUUGUCCGGAUUUACUGGGCGUAAAGAGCGCGCAGGCGGUCGUUCAAGUCGAGUGUGAAAGCCCCCGGCUCAACUGGGGAGGGUCACUCGAUACUGAUCGACUUGAAGGCAGGAGAGGGAAGCGGAAUUCCCGGGUGUAGUGGUGAAAUGCGUAGAUAUCGGGAGGAACACCAGUGGCGAAGGCGGCUUCCUGGCCUGUUCUUGACGCUGAGGCGCGAAAGCUAGGGGAGCAAACGGG
rnacentral:rRNA from 1 species